UACGGAGGGGGCUAGCGUUGUUCGGAAUUACUGGGCGUAAAGCGCGCGUAGGCGGCUUUGUAAGUUAGAGGUGAAAGCCCGGAGCUUAACUCCGGAACUGCCUUUAAGACUGCAUCGCUAGAAUUGUGGAGAGGUGGGUGGAAUUCCGAGUGUAGAGGUGAAAUUCGUAGAUAUUCGGAAGAACACCAGUGGCGAAGGCGACUCACUGGACACAUAUUGACGCUGAGGUGCGAAAGCGUGGGGAGCAAACAGG
rnacentral:rRNA from 1 species